rnacentral:lncRNA from 1 species
CAUGGCAGAGGUUCCCACUUCACUUUGUUGAGCAAGUGCAUUCCUCCAUGAGAGUCGGGCUAUGGAAAGGCAUGUUCACAGAGAACUUUGAUAUUCACUAUCAACAAGUCUAUGCAGGUAUUACCGAGAUUUGGGAGGUGAGUGAGAGAGACUAGAGCUAGAUGGAGCCCCCUUUCCUCCAAAAAAAAGAAGAGAGAAGGAAGACCUGAG